rnacentral:snRNA from 1 species
GUCUUUGCGCUUGGGGCAAUGACGCAGCUAAUGAGGUUCUAACCGAGGCGCGUCUAUUGCUUGUUGAAAACUAUUUCCAAACCCCCUCCUAGGCCUAAGCUUGUCUUGGGCCUUCGAGAAUUUCUGGAAGGGCUCCCUUCGGGGUAAAGCC